rnacentral:rRNA from 1 species
UACGUAGGCAGCAAGCGUUGUUCGGAAUUACUGGGCGUAAAGAGUGUGUAGGCGGUGCUCCAAGUCUGGUGUGAAAUCUCCCGGCUUAACUGGGAGGGGUGCCAUUAGAAACUGGAAUGCUAGAGGAUGGGAGAGGUAAGCGGAAUUCCUGGUGUAGCGGUGAAAUGCGUAGAUAUCAGGAGGAACACCUGUGGUGUAGACAGCUUACUGGACCAUUCUGACGCUGAGACACGAAAGCGUGGGUAGC